rnacentral:rRNA from 1 species
AGAGUUUGAUCCUGGCUCAGGAUGAACGCUGGCGGCGUGCUUAACACAUGCAAGUCGAACGAUCCUUCGGGAUAGUGGCGGACGGGCGAGUAACGCGUGGGAAUCUGCCCUCAGGAGGGGGAUAACGGCUGGAAACGGCCGCUAAUACCCCAUAUGCCGAGAGGUGAAAUGAAUUUCGCCUGAGGAUGAGCCCGCGUCUGAUUAGCUAGUUGGUGGGGUAAUGGCCUACCAAGGCAACGAUCAGUAGCUGGUCUGAGAGGAUGAUCAGCCACACUGGGACUGAGACACGGCCCAGACUCCUACGGGAGGCAGCAGUGGGGAAUUUUCCGCAAUGGGCGAAAGCCUGACGGAGCAACGCCGCGUGAGGGAUGAAGGCCUCUGGGCUGUAAACCUCUUUUCUCAAGGAAGAAGAUCUGACGGUACUUGAGGAAUAAGCCACGGCUAAUUCCGUGCCAGCAGCCGCGGUAAUACGGGAGUGGCAAGCGUUAUCCGGAAUUAUUGGGCGUAAAGCGUCCGCAGGCGGCCUUGUAAGUCUGUUGUUAAAGCGUGGAGCUCAACUCCAUCUAAGCAAUGGAAACUACAAGGCUGGAGUGUGGUAGGGGCAGAGGGAAUUCCCGGUGUAGCGGUGAAAUGCGUAGAUAUCGGGAAGAACACCAGUGGCGAAGGCGCUCUGCUGGGCCAUAACUGACGCUCAUGGACGAAAGCCAGGGGAGCGAAAGGGAUUAGAUACCCCUGUAGUCCUGGCCGUAAACGAUGAACACUAGGUGUCGGGGGAAUCGACCCCCUCGGUGUCGUAGCCAACGCGUUAAGUGUUCCGCCUGGGGAGUACGCACGCAAGUGUGAAACUCAAAGGAAUUGACGGGGGCCCGCACAAGCGGUGGAGUAUGUGGUUUAAUUCGAUGCAACGCGAAGAACCUUACCAGGGUUUGACAUCCUGCGAACCCCUGAGAAAUCGGGGGGUGCCUUCGGGAGCGCAGAGACAGGUGGUGCAUGGCUGUCGUCAGCUCGUGUCGUGAGAUGUUGGGUUAAGUCCCGCAACGAGCGCAACCCACGUCUUUAGUUGCCAGCAUUCAGUUGGGCACUCUAGAGAGACCGCCGGUGAUAAACCGGAGGAAGGUGUGGAUGACGUCAAGUCAUCAUGCCCCUUACAUCCUGGGCUACACACGUACUACAAUGCUACGGACAAAGGGCAGCAAGCUCGCGAGAGUUAGCAAAUCCCAUAAACCGUGGCUCAGUUCAGAUCGUAGGCUGCAACUCGCCUACGUGAAGGAGGAAUCGCUAGUAAUCGCAGGUCAGCAUACUGCGGUGAAUACGUUCCCGGGCCUUGUACACACCGCCCGUCACACCAUGGAAGUUGGCCAUGCCCGAAGUCGUUACUCCAACCCUUGUGGAGGAGGACGCC